CGCUGGUCCCGUGCCUAAGAAAGCAAGUCGAGCGAACUUUUGGGAGCUUGCUCCCAAAAGUUUUCGCCGGACGGGUGAGUAACACGUGGGCAACCUACCUGUAAGACUGGGAUAACUUCGGGAAACCGGAGCUAAUACCGGAUAAUUCUUCUUUACACAUGUAGAGAAGCUAAAAGGCGGCUUCGGCUGUCACUUACAGAUGGGCCCGCGGCGCAUUAGCUAGUUGGUGAGGUAACGGCUCGCCAAGGCAACGAUGCGUAGCCGACCUGAGAGGGUGAUCGGCCACACUGGGACUGAGACACGGCCCAGACUCCUACGGGAGGCAGCAGUGGG
rnacentral:sRNA from 1 species